CUUCGCUUCGGAACAUCCUGAAAUACUCUGUUCAGGUUCUGGCCUGGGUUCUCUGUUGGAAAACAAGUGGCGGAAGAUAGAAAUAAAUACAGGCAUGCAGAGAGUCACUCUUACCGUUUCCGCUGUUUUCUCGAUCUGAUUGGAUGGUUGCAGUGUCUUGCCAGCUGAAGUGAGCUGCUCCCUCAGACUCACAGCAUCCCUCUCUGCUGCCUCGGCCCUCUGUGGGCCACAAACACAACAAAUGGGUGAAAAAUUGCCAUGGUUGAGGAUUCAUAACCAUUAUAUCAACUGACGUUUAUGACUUGUGAAGACUGGGAGCUAAAAGAUCACAGGCCUGGUUUUAUAUGAAAAAUGUUGAACUGAACUCACACUUGGCUGAGUGCUCUAGUAUUCAAGCUAAAGUGUGUCAAAGUAUGUACGGUUGGUUGAUUCACACAAUAUGCAAAUCACUCUGAAUUUAUUUUAAAUAAAGAUUGUGGUGUUAAUUCAUUUGUUGCCCUAGAAUGGAUCCCUGACCUAAAGACAAAGGUCUGGAUUCAUGAUGAGACUUAUAAAAUAUAUAUAUAGUGUAAAAGCUGCUUAAAGCGUUCAACCUUUAGCUGCACCAAAUCCAACACCACCAUCUUUAUGCAUUUAUGGUAAUGACAAGCUAAAUUAUGCAAAUGUAUUCUAAACGUCUACGUAACAAGUCUUACCAAAUGUUCUUUUUUUCUGUUGAUUGGAAUAAUAAUGCUAAUGAAAACAAUGAUUAUAAA